UGAGGGGGAGAGUGGCCUGGGGAGAC
rnacentral:piRNA from 1 species